AGUGAACGCUGGCGGUAGGCCUAACACAUGCAAGUCGAACGGCAGCACAGUAAGAGCUUGCUCUUACGGGUGGCGAGUGGCGGACGGGUGAGGAAUACAUCGGAAUCUACUUUUUCGUGGGGGAUAACGUAGGGAAACUUACGCUAAUACCGCAUACGACCUACGGGUGAAAGCAGGGGAUCUUCGGACCUUGCGCGACUGAAUGAGCCGAUGUCGGAUUAGCUAGUUGGCGGGGUAAAGGCCCACCAAGGCGACGAUCCGUAGCUGGUCUGAGAGGAUGAUCAGCCACACUGGAACUGGGACACGGUCCAGACUCCUACGGGAGGCAGCAGUGGGGAAUAUUGGACAAUGGGCGCAAGCCUGAUCCAGCCAUACCGCGUGGGUGAAGAAGGCCUUCGGGUUGUAAAGCCCUUUUGUUGGGAAAGAAAAGCAGCAGGUUAAUACCCCGCUGUUCUGACGGUACCCAAAGAAUAAGCACCGGCUAACUUCGUG
rnacentral:rRNA from 1 species